UGGGGAAUAUUGCACAAUGGGCGCAAGCCUGAUGCAGCGACGCCGCGUGAGGGAUGGAGGCCUUCGGGUUGUAAACCUCUUUCGCCAGUGAAGCAGGCCAUCUUCUUUGUGGGGUGGUUGACGGUAGCUGGAUAAGAAGCGCCGGCUAACUACGUGCCAGCAGCCGCGGUAAUACGUAGGGCGCGAGCGUUGUCCGGAAUUAUUGGGCGUAAAGAGCUCGUAGGCGGCUGGUCGCGUCUGUCGUGAAAUCCCCUGGCUUAACUGGGGGCUUGCGGUGGGUACGGGCCGGCUUGAGUGCGGUAGGGGAGACUGGAAUUCCUGGUGUAGCGGUGGAAUGCGCAGAUAUCAGGAGGAGCACCGGUGGCGAAGGCGGGUCUCUGGGCCGUUACUGACGCUGAGGAGCGAAAGCGUGGGGAGCGAACAGG
rnacentral:rRNA from 1 species